rnacentral:rRNA from 1 species
GAUGAACGCUGGCGGCGUGCCUAAUACAUGCAAGUCGAGUGAACAGACGAGGAGCUUGCUCCUCUGACGUUAGCGGCGGACGGGUGAGUAACACGUGGAUAACCUACCUAUAAGACUGGGAUAACUUCGGGAAACCGGAGCUAAUACCGGAUAAUAUAUUGAACCGCAUGGUUCAAUAGUGAAAGACGGUUUUGCUGUCACUUAUAGAUGGAUCCGCGCCGCAUUAGCUAGUUGGUAAGGUAACGGCUUACCAAGGCAACGAUGCGUAGCCGACCUGAGAGGGUGAUCGGCCACACUGGAACUGAGACACGGUCCAGACUCCUACGGGAGGCAGCAGUAGGGAAUCUUCCGCAAUGGGCGAAAGCCUGACGGAGCAACGCCGCGUGAGUGAUGAAGGUCUUCGGAUCGUAAAACUCGGUUAUUAGGGAAGAACAAAUGUGUAAGUAACUAUACACGUCUUGACGGUACCUAAUCAGAAAGCCACGGCUAACUACGUG